CCUACGGGAGGCAGCAGUAGGGAAUUUUGCGCAAUGGGCGAAAGCCUGACGCAGCAACACCGCGUGAAUGUUAAGCCCUUCGGGGUGUAAAGUUCUGUCAAUAGGGACGAAUUUUGACUGUACCUAUAAAGGAAGCACCGGCUAACUCCGUGCCAGCAGCCGCGGUAAUACGGGGGGGGCAAGCGUUGUCCGGAAUCAUUGGGCGUAAAGCGUUCGUAGGCGGCAAGGUAAGUCUGAUGUUAAAGGCCGGGGCUAAACCCCGGCCGGCCGUUGAAACUGGUUUUCUAGAGUUGGAGAGAAGUAUGCGGAAUUCGUGGUGUAGCGGUGAAAUGCAUAGAUAUCACGAAGAACUCCGGUUGCGAAGGCAGCAUACCGGCUCCAUACUGACGCUGAGGCACGAAAGCGUGGGGAUCGAACAGGAUUAGAUACCCUUGUAGUC
rnacentral:rRNA from 1 species